GACGAACGCUGGCGGCGUGCUUAACACAUGCAAGUCGAACGGAAAGGCCCUGCUUUUGUGGGGUGCUCGAGUGGCGAACGGGUGAGUAACACGUGAGUAACCUGCCCUUGACUUUGGGAUAACUUCAGGAAACUGGGGCUAAUACCGGAUAGGAGCUCCUGCUGCAUGGUGGGGGUUGGAAAGUUUCGGCGGUUGGGGAUGGACUCGCGGCUUAUCAGCUUGUUGGUGGGGUAGUGGCUUACCAAGGCUUUGACGGGUAGCCGGCCUGAGAGGGUGACCGGCCACAUUGGGACUGAGAUACGGCCCAGACUCCUACGGGAGGCAGCAGUGGGGAAUAUUGCACAAUGGGCGGAAGCCUGAUGCAGCAACGCCGCGUGCGGGAUGACGGCCUUCGGGUUGUAAACCACUUUCGCCGGUGACGAAGCGUGAGUGACGGUAAUGGGUAAAGAAGCACCGGCUAACUACGUG
rnacentral:rRNA from 1 species